GAUGAACGCUGGCGGCGUGCCUAAUACAUGCAAGUCGAGCGAACGGACGAGAAGCUUGCUUCUCUGAUGUUAGCGGCGGACGGGUGAGUAACACGUGGAUAACCUACCUAUAAGACUGGGAUAACUUCGGGAAACCGGAGCUAAUACCGGAUAAUAUUUUGAACCGCAUGGUUCAAAAGUGAAAGACGGUCUUGCUGUCACUUAUAGAUGGAUCCGCGCUGCAUUAGCUAGUUGGUAAGGUAACGGCUUACCAAGGCAACGAUGCAUAGCAGACCUGAGAGGGUGAUCGGCCACACUGGAACUGAGACACGGUCCAGACUCCUACGGGAGGCAGCAGUAGGGAAUCUUCCGCAAUGGGCGAAAGCCUGACGGAGCAACGCCGCGUGAGUGAUGAAGGUCUUCGGAUCGUAAAACUCUGUUAUUAGGGAAGAACAUAUGUGUAAGUAACUGUGCACAUCUUGACGGUACCUAAUCAGAAAGCCACGGCUAACUACGUGCCAGCAGCCGCGGUAAUACGUAGGUGGCAAGCGUUAUCCGGAAUUAUUGGGCGUAAAGCGCGCGUAGGCGGUUUUUUAAGUCUGAUGUGAAAGCCCACGGCUCAACCGUGGAGGGUCAUUGGAAACUGGAAAACUUGAGUGCAGAAGAGGAAAGUGGAAUUCCAUGUGUAGCGGUGAAAUGCGCAGAGAUAUGGAGGAACACCAGUGGCGAAGGCGACUUUCUGGUCUGUAACUGACGCUGAUGUGCGAAAGCGUGGGGAUCAAACAGGAUUAGAUACCCUGGUAGUCCACGCCGUAAACGAUGAGUGCUAAGUGUUAGGGGGUUUCCGCCCCUUAGUGCUGCAGCUAACGCAUUAAGCACUCCGCCUGGGGAGUACGACCGCAAGGUUGAAACUCAAAGGAAUUGACGGGGACCCGCACAAGCGGUGGAGCAUGUGGUUUAAUUCGAAGCAACGCGAAGAACCUUACCAAAUCUUGACAUCCUUUGACAACUCUAGAGAUAGAGCCUUCCCCUUCGGGGGACAAAGUGACAGGUGGUGCAUGGUUGUCGUCAGCUCGUGUCGUGAGAUGCUGGGUUAAGUCCCGCAACGAGCGCAACCCUUAAGCUUAGUUGCCAUCAUUAAGUUGGGCACUCUAAGUUGACUGCCGGUGACAAACCGGAGGAAGGUGGGGAUGACGUCAAAUCAUCAUGCCCCUUAUGAUUUGGGCUACACACGUGCUACAAUGGACAAUACAAAGGGCAGCGAAACCGCGAGGUCAAGCAAAUCCCAUAAAGUUGUUCUCAGUUCGGAUUGUAGUCUGCAACUCGACUACAUGAAGCUGGAAUCGCUAGUAAUCGUAGAUCAGCAUGCUACGGUGAAUACGUUCCCGGGUCU
rnacentral:rRNA from 1 species